rfam:Pseudomassariella vexata strain CBS 129021 BCR38scaffold_14, whole genome shotgun sequence.
GGUUUCAUAGUGUAGUUGGUUAUCACAUCGGAUUCUGAUUACAUGUGCAGUUCUGCAUUAAAAACUGUUCAACGGAAUUUCCGGGGACUGGGGUUCGAAUCCCCGUGAGACCU